GUUGGGUUAUGGUCGGGGUUGUGGUGCUGCCACCGGGGUUUGUUGGAUUCACGACCGGUAAAUCACCUUGUCCCUGAGCUAAUGCAUUUGGAGCUGAAAGCAAUCACCAGAGAAACCAGGUUAUCUUGUAGGUGAAGGCGAGGUCGAAGAUGAGUUCACUGUACUCGAGAAAAACGACGCUAGGCGAGACGAGGAAGGAGAGAUGCAGGGGUAGGAAAUGAGAGAGAUGUGAAGAGGUCGAGACGAGGAAAGAGAAAGAGGGGUGAUGGGCGAAAAGGCCUAUACGAGGAGCAGAGACGAGGCGUCGGAAGGAUUGAGAACAAAGAUAGUUCGCGUAGUGAGUGAAAUAUUCGGAAAAUUACGGGUUUUUGUGGUCACCGUAGCAGUUAGUAGUCAUUGUGAGUAUGAAAAAAUGGCCAUUCCCGGUAAAAAUGCUAUUACUAGGAUUGUGUGUUUUUACAGGCGUGCGAUGUUUUGUGCAUUUGGGGCUGUGUGUCCGAAAAUGGAAGGAGAACAAAGUAACAAGGUAAGGUUCAUGCUGUAAAAAAAGCACAAAGCUUUUAGCUUACGUUGUGUGUCCUGUUAUCGUAAAGCCAUAAGCUGAUUUUGCAAGAGGCUUAA